GGAUUGAGCACUCGGUGUUUAACGCUACUAACUCUGUUGCUGAUAAACACAAAUCAAGAAGUCUAAAUUCUGGGCUGAUAUAAAGAAAAACAACACCAGAUUUAGACUUAAAUCAAAUAAAGCCAGCAUUUUGAAAAGAAAGGUUAGAAGACAGUUUAGUUAACUAUAUAGCUCUUUCAGUUAGACUGAGACACAAAUAAAAAUUCUCUAGAGUGGCAUUGUUUAUUGCUUUGGUUUCAGAAUAGCUUCUGAUUGCUUGUGUCCCAGCUUUGUAGUUUGAAUUUUUACCCAUUGUAUUUUAAUUUAUAGUAGGUAGUGUGGAAGAGUUUCACUAAGACUGAAUUGCUGUAUUAGUCUGGCAAGCAUGUAAAGUAUACUUCAUGUAAUACUUACUAGGGUACUAUAUAGAAUUGCCAGCAUCUACCUAAAAAGGUUAGACUUAGAUGUGCAAUUUUUACAUACUUUAUGCUUUUUCUAUGGCAGUCCAUUUAAAUAUAUAUGGACGCUGAUAGCACUUUCAAAAGAACAAAACAACAAACAAACAAAAACAAGCAAUCCAUGCAGACCUGACCUGUCUUCUGCCGCUUUUGAAGAGGGACUUAUUUAGCAGUUGACUUGGGAAAUGGGGCAGGAACCAGUGUGUGGAGCUUCUGUCUUCACACUAGACUUGGAUUUCGAGCCUCUGACUUGGCUAGAAGGGAAACAAUGAAAGGAUAGACUUCCUUCAUGGUGACCAAACAAGUCUCCCUUUCUGGGAAAGAAUUGGCAUGGUCAGUCUUUGACAAGAACGUACUGUGACUAAAACCUAACUGUGUUACCAUACCACAUACUAUUUUCAGUGAAGCUAAGCACUUCUCAAAUUGUGUCUUUGAAAAUUCCUAUGUAUCAGGAGAUGGCCUAAUCGGCCAUCAGUAGAAAGAGAGGCCCAUUGGUCGUGCAAACUUUAUAUGCCCCAGUACAGGGGAACACCAGGGCCAAAAAGUGGGAGUGGCGGGGGGAGGGUAUGGGGGACUUUUGGGAUAGCAUUGUAAAUGUAAAUGAAGAAAAUACCUAAUUAAAAUUAAAAAAAAAUAAAUUUAAAAAAUCCCUUAAUGUAAUCCACUAUAUAAACAAACUCAAAGGAAAAAAAAAAAGAAAGAAAAUUCCUAAGUUGAAUUUGGUCAAAUGCUGGUAGCAUCUUUAAGAUUUGAUUAUGCUGUCUUUUCAAGGACAUGACUACUUAAAAGAGAUAGUUGAAAACUAAGCCUUUCUGCCUCAACUCAGAGAUGAUUAGCUAAAAUAUGUCCCAAUUUUCAAUCCUAGUUGAUAGUUUAUGUGAGAACCAUCACACAUCUACCAUUAUGCAAUGAUUGUUAAAUUAUACGAUGAUAGCUCUAGAAAAACAUAUGGUCCGCGCUUGUAUACAAAGAUACUGUUAUACACACUUUGUUGAAUAUUUUGUCAGUUGUAUUUACAACAGAUACUUUCUUAAGAGAAUAUGUUGUUAGUUUUUGAUAUUAUUUUAAAGUCAAAAUGGUAAAGAUUACUGAAUAUUGUAUUUUAGUCUUGAUCAAUAAAAAAUAAAUAAAGAGAUUUUUUGAAUUUCAAGAAGAUUAUAAAUGAAAGCAAGACAACAAUGUAUUUUCCGAGUCUGCAGGAGAAGGAAGCAAAACAUGUUCUAGUUUUAUAGCUGCUGCUUUGUUAAGCAAAUGAGUUGUUCACAAUAUUCAAAAUAUUUUGUUGUGUCAAACUGGACCAGUGCAUUAUGCCUUUUACCUUAAAUGUUAUAACAUGACUUUGUCUUUAUAAAACUAAGUAUUAAAAAUCUAUUAUAUUAAAUAUG
rnacentral:lncRNA from 1 species